rnacentral:lncRNA from 1 species
CUCUGGUGCACGUUUACGGUGGCUAGCCUCAACAGGUGCGAUAGCAAAUAUGAUAGUGGGGCGCAAAAACGGCACCGUGAGCAGGAUCUACUUCAAAAGAGCCCCAGAUUGAGCCAGCUCCCGCAACGGGAUCAAAGGAACACGAGUCGCGGGCAGAGCCAUCUGAAACGCCACCACCAUCCCCACAAGACCAACGAGCCGUGUCCGAGCCGCCGCCGUGACUGUUGCACCUGCUACCGUGGGGCCAACAGAGACUGCAACACCGGCUCCCGCUUCCUACAGCUCGGCCCCAGGAUGCGGAGGUGAAAUAGAUGAGCAGAGGCGGCCAUACUGAGCUAAACUGGGCCCGAAAUCGUGUCAAAACCAAGACGCGGAGCUUGCAGCAUCGGAAAGACAACAUAGACACCAAAAGAGGUCCCUGGAUCUCUAGCGCUUCCCAGAAGGACACACGGCGAGUCACAAACGAGGGGCGCCAUUCAGCCUGUCCGACCCAUUUGAAAGUGAGUAGCGUAUUCACCCAAGGAUCUCAUCCAGCUGUUUCUUGAAGGACACCAGACUUCAACAACACAAUUGAGUAGCUUGUUCCAUGCUCUUACCACCCUUUGUGUAAAGAAUUGCCUCCCUAAAGUCCCCCUUGUUCCAGGAGGUGAACCUGAUCUGAUGUGUAGUUGGACUGGAGUAGCAUAGUAUCAGUUGUGGCCGCACUUCAGAGCUUGGUGAAGUUCUCCUACAUGCAAUGCCU